CCCGUUCCAAAGUAAUGGGAAAAGAAGUAAGGAUCAAAUGGCUAUUGGAUGCAAUGUUGGGGAUUAAAUUCCAUACUUCAAAAAUUUAAGGACUUGAAGUGAAGUAAAGAAAUACAUGAGUAGGAAAAUUAAUUAAAUUCGAGGAUUAAAGUAUAUUAAUGGAAUGAAGCGGAGCCUUGGAAGAUAAAUUACAAUUAACUGGGCCUAGACCAGUUGCAAUGGAUGAUAAGUGUAAAGGGAUUUGAUUCUUGUUUGUAGACAAAAAGUGGGCGCCUGAAUUUGAAUAAAAAGUACCACUCCACUUGGACUCCUUUUUUCAACAAAAAUGUAGCAACUGUGGGGGAAUUAAAGAGGAAUUAUACAUACGCGCAUACACACUGAGAGGAAGAAGGUGGCAGCUAAAAAUUGAGGCAAAAGACAAACACACAGGCACAAUUGGAGGAGUUUUUGGGCGGUUGAAUUGGAAAAAAUUGGAUUUUCAGGGUUUAAAAAAGGAGCUAUCGGUGGACAUUGGAAUUAAGAAAUGGAGAUAUACGGAAAAACGGCAGCAUUUGUGAAUCAUUCUAGAUUUUUUGCGCGAUAAUCAAUUGAAGAUUUGUCAUACUAUGGAAUGAGCUCCAAUUCGUUGCUUUGUUUCACAAACCAAUUCAAUCAACAUGGUGUCACCACUUCGGAAAAUUUGUCAAAUUGGUGGGGAACUUGCCAUUACUUGGAGCAUUUCUUGCUGAUGCAUAUUUUGGAAGAUAUUGGACUAUUGCAAGUAUUUUAUCAUCCAUGUUAUCGGAAUGUAUCAGCAACAGUCCCUGGCAACCUGAUCGAAGAAAGAUGUCUGUCUCUGCAACACAUGCUCAAACAACUGUCUGUUUUCUUGCAUUCUAUCUGCUAGCACUUGGAACCGGUGGGAUUAAGCCAUUUGUCUCAUCCUACGGUGCAGAUCAAUUUGAUGACACUCAUGAGGCUGAAAAGAAGUUCAAAAGUUCUUUCUUCAGUUGGUUCCAUUUUUCAAUCAAUAUUGGGUGCACUCAUAGCCUUUUCUAUGCUAGUUUGGUUACAAGUUAACAUUGGUUGGAGAUAAGGAUUUGGUAUUCCUGCUGUGGCUAUGGCAAUACGUGUGACCUUUUUCUUUUCGGGUACUCGAUUAUAUCAGUACCAGAAACCCGGUGGCAACCUUCUUACUCGUCUCUGCAAGGUGGUGGUAGCCGCCCUGAGAAGAACCCGAGUUGUGAUACCUGAUGGCAAGUCUCUUCUAUACAAGACUUCAAAUGCAGAAUCCGUUACAGUAGGCAGCCGCGAGCUUGAUCACACAGGUGAACUUUGAUAUGUGCCCUUCUACUGUGGAUGUGUGUUUAAUAAGUUGGAUUGAUUAGGAUGAAGACAAGAUAACUAACAAAUUUUGUCACGUCUCAUUUUUAAUCUUGUCUAGUUUUAUCUAGUCCAACAUGCUGAACAUGUAUCUGUAUUUCUAUUUCAUCCGUAAUACACAACUUGAAUUCAUUAUUUGUUUAACAAAC